UGCUGUGUGCCCGUCUGCUGCUGCAAGCCUGUGUGCUGCUGUGUGCCAGCCUGUUCCUGCUCCAGCUGUGGCUCCUGUGGGGGCUCCAAGGGGGGUUGUGGCUCUUGUGGGGGCUCCAAAGGGGGCUGUGGCUCCUGUAGGAGCUCCAAGGGAGGCUGUGGCUCUUGUGGCUGCUCUCAAUGCAGUUGCUGCAAGCCCUGCUGUUGCUCCUCAGGCUGUGGGUCAUCCUGCUGCCAGUCCAGCUGCUGCAAGCCCUGCUGCUCCCAGUCCAGCUGCUGUGUCCCCGUGUGCUGCCAGUGCAAGAUCUGAGGCUCUAGUGGGAAACCUCAGGUAGCUCCUGAAGAUC